UCUGAAGAAAUCAAGAUCAUUUCUCCCUUAUCGAUUAGGUCAUCUCAUAACCUAAUCAGACUUGACUUGAUUGAAUCAAAUUCAAUCAAACUUUAUCUAGACUUUAAUGCUUAAUUAAAUUGAACUAAUUAAUAAUCUAAUCACUAGUUAAUCUUCCAUUAAUGAUAGAGUCCAAGUAUAGUGGGACUCUUCUCUAGAGUCCCCAUCCAGUGGAACUCUUCAGUAGAGUCUUCAUCAAGUGGGACUCUUUACCAGAGUCUCCAUUGACUGGGACUCUUCAGAUUAGCCAAA
rnacentral:lncRNA from 1 species